GUUUCGAGAACGACUACUCUCUCCACUACUCUUUCUCUCUCGUAAUAUAUACUUUGGUUACUAUUAGUCAAUUUCAUAACACGUCACGAGCUCCCUUAUAAGAGUAGAAUAAUACUUUGUUACUGAAAAAUCAUGAAGCUCGUCCUACUGGAUCUGCUCCAUUCCCUGAAGAGAAUGUUGUAGCAGUGCAAGAUCAGCCUGAAAUAAGGCAAAAUUAUUAUCGCGAUCGUGGUCGAGGUCAUGGCCGCAGACGUGGGCGAGGACGUGGCAGAGGAAGAAAUAAUUAUCGUCAUAGUGGUGAAAGUAAACAAGAGAAUAAUAAAGGUUCUCAAAAUAAUCCUUCAAAGGGUAAAGUUAAUAAUUGCCACCGAUGUGGUAUGAAAGGUUAUUGGGCACGUGUUAGUCGUACGCCUGAUCAUUUUGUCAAAUUUUAUCAAGCUUCCCUUAAAAGAAAAGAAAAUGAUGUGGAAGUACACUUGAACUUUCGAGGUAAUGAUGAUGAAGCAAGUCCAUCAAAUACAUAUGAUGAUGUUGAGACAAAUCUUGCUUACAAUAAUGAUGACUUUAAGAGCCUCUCAGAUAUUAUCCAUUUGAAAGCUGAAGAUUUCUAUGAGGACAUUGAUUGAAGAACUGAUCACUUUAGUUAAGAAUAAAUUAUAAAGAAAGUUAUUAAUUUUUUUUGUUUGUAAUUAUGUUUUCUAUUUUAUUAAAGUACCGUGUGUUUCUAAUUUC